rnacentral:rRNA from 1 species
GAGUUUGAUCCUGGCUCAGGAUGAACGCUGGCGGCGUGCCUAAUACAUGCAAGUCGAGCGAACAGAUAAGGAGCUUGCUCCUUUGAAGUUAGCGGCGGACGGGUGAGUAACACGUGGGUAACCUACCUAUAAGACUGGGAUAACUUCGGGAAACCGGAGCUAAUACCGGAUAACAUUUAGAACCGCAUGGUUCUAAAGUGAAAGAUGGUUUUGCUAUCACUUAUAGAUGGACCCGCGCCGUAUUAGCUAGUUGGUAAGGUAACGGCUUACCAAGGCGACGAUACGUAGCCGACCUGAGAGGGUGAUCGGCCACACUGGAACUGAGACACGGUCCAGACUCCUACGGGAGGCAGCAGUAGGGAAUCUUCCGCAAUGGGCGAAAGCCUGACGGAGCAACGCCGCGUGAGUGAUGAAGGGUUUCGGCUCGUAAAACUCUGUUAUUAGGGAAGAACAAAUGUGUAAGUAACUGUGUACAUCUUGGCGGUACCUAAUCAGAAAGCCACGGCUAACUACGUGCCAGCAGCCGCGGUAAUACG